rnacentral:rRNA from 1 species
CACGUAGGGGGCAAGCGUUGUCCGGAUUUAUUGGGCGUAAAGAGCUCGUAGGCGGUUCGGUAAGUCGGGUGUGAAACCUCCAGGCUCAACCUGGAGACGCCACCCGAUACUGCUGUGACUAGAGUCCGGUAGGGGAGCGUGGAAUUCCUGGUGUAGCGGUGAAAAUGCGCAGAUAUCGGGAGGACACCGGUGGCGAAGGCGGCGACCUGGGUAGAUACGUGACGCUGAGGUGCGAAAGCGUGGGGAGCAACAGGG